rnacentral:tRNA from 1 species
AUUUAAAUAGCUUAUAAUUUAGAGUUUAAUAUUGAAGAUAUUAAGGAGAUAGUUUUUAUCUUUAAAUA